UCUCCGUGGGUUGUAGGCUUGUAGCCUUGAAGUUCCGAAUUCAUAACCAUUUCAUAUCUGGCUGUGAAUAGUUACAACUAUUUGCGGACCCAUUACUCGGGCAUGGCCGCCGCCGUCGCUCGCAUCGUCACACCAACUACAAGCACUGGAUAUGGAUAUGUUGAUAAGGUUGCAGAACGCGUGACUGUACAAGUAGGUGUCGUUAACCUUCUAUUGGAGAAACAUGGAGGAACUGGCUUGCAAGGCCAUGCAACAUGGUAAACCACAAUGAUGAUAUUAGCUCAAAAUAAUUCUGCUGGGAGAUCAAAGGAAUGAGACUUUCGAGUAGGGAUACUGAGUUCUCUUUGCGACGCCAAUGUAUGUUAAAUCUGAAGUACAGCUAGUACAUAUGAACUUGUCCUACUGUGUUGAGCAAUGUAUCUUCUCCACGAGCUUUCAUAGUCAGCAGAUUUAAUGAUUCAAUUGAAUAAGCUAGAUAUGUCUACUGACAAAAAUAAAGAUAUGUGCUACUGUUCGCCAAGAAUGAAGACGGUGUUCCUGAUCUUGUUGUGGAGAAUCCUGUAAUGCCCGGCUAAGGUAGAUUAGGAAAGGGGGUCAGGAUGAGGAAGAAGAGGGUAGGUGAGAGGAGACAGCAGAGGGGAGAGGUUCAAUUCACUUUCUUAUUAAAAUGAGCCCUCACAGCGGCAACGACUGGCUUAAGUAGUUUACACACACACGCACCCCACACGGGCU